UCCAGCUAAAAUUUUUCAGAAUUUUCACUUUUUGGCAAAUUUUGCCCAACAAACACAGAGCCAUUAUCACUCUUUCGCUGAAGCCUGAAACUGAGAGAGCAUAGAAAUCUCACAGAGCGCAUGGAAAUCUCAUAGAGCUCGAUGAUCAUCGAUUAGGUACGUAAUUGCACAGCUCCGAUUAGGUACGAUCUUGGUUUUGUGACUCUUCCUCUCUCUUGGCAUUGUGUUUCUCAGCUCCGGUUAGGUUGUAGCACAGAAGGAAGCUGAAAUCACUGAGCAGGAUUCGCUUCUUCUGACGAGGAAUCUGCUCCAAAUUGCUAUAUUCAAUAUUAGUUACAUCAGAGGCCUGUAUAUCAGAGAAAUUUACUUACUUGGACCUGCUACAACUUCUAUCAGUCAACACCAACAAAAUUGCCGGGGAGAAUUAUUUCUUUCAUUCUGGGCAGGGUGGUUAGGAUAACUUGGAUGUGUGAAGUAAAUUUGGAAGCGGUUCUUCUUGCAUUGUGCUCAAAGCAAUUCAGCCAAGCAUAAGUGCCUAUGUCUUGUUUGCAGCUUAAUUUGGUUGCAAACUAGAGUAAAACACUGGAUAUUCUGAUUAUUUUUAAAUUUCAUCACCAAUGAAACAAGUUCUAACACUUUUCUUUUGUUUUCUAUGAAUCAGGGGUUUUUGAGAAAACCAGCAACUACUACAGAACAUCUGCACUUGAGUUGAAAGAGAAAAGAGCAAAGCCAUUGGAAGAGUGGAUGAACAUAGAAAGCAGUUUUGGUGAGCUUGAUGAUAUUAGUUUAGUCCAAGCUAAGCUGCCAAAAAAGCUGAAAAAGAGGAGGCAGAUGCUGUCUGAGAUAUAAUUGUGUUCCAUUACAUUUUGUAAGCUUUCCUUGUUUGCCUUUGCUAACAAGUUUAAAUUGGCAGAUAUGAGGAAUACAUUGACUACAUGUUCCCAGAGGAAACUCAGACGACUAAUCUUAGAAUAUUGGAAGCUGCACAUAAGUGGAAGAAGCAAAAGAUUUCUGAUAAAGACUAGCAUGGUAACGUGCUUUUGUAGAAUUGAAGCUUUUGGUGUAAAUACAUAAUUGCUUUUUUAAUGUUAAUUGGGUGAAAAUGAAGUAGCCUUGACAGUUAGUAGGGCAAUAAGUUUUGCUAGAGAACUUUGCAUUUCUAAGGUAGAGUUCGAAGGAGAUAGUCAGAGAGUUGUCACAGCUAUCAACAACCAGGUGCCAUCAAAAACCAUGGUUUGGUCAUGUUAUUGAAGAGAUUUGGAUGUUGUAAGAGAUUUUUCAUAAAUAUAGCUUCAAACAUGUAAAAAGAGAGGGCAACCAGCUUGCUCAUUCCCUUGCUAGAACAUUGAUGGGCAUUUUUUUUCUUCUUCUUUCUUUUAUGCUCUUAUGAGAAUGAUUUCUA